GGUACUUCUUCAAAAUCUCUCCUCUUCUCACACGCACAUCACCUUCCCCUAAACCUAAAACUCACCCUUUCCUUCCCCAAAAUCAAAAGCCAAAACUCAGAUUCUCCCACCGCCACCGCCGCCGCCACCGUCACCACGGAUUGCUGCCACCACGAAUCGUUGCCACUACAUCUUUUGGUUUUCCUGUAUUAUGCAACUCAUUCUCUACCUGUUAUUGUUUUUAAUUGAAAAUCAAACUCCAUACCCAGUGCCCAGGGAAUGAUGAUAAUGCCAAUUAUUCACUCCCACCGCCAAGUGAAACCUAGCAGAGGGUGUGGUUUCCUUCAAAGAGAAGUGCUCCUUUGUCGUCUGUUGGACAAGUUACGCAUUAUGUGAAAAUAUGUUGAAGAAGUUAAUGGUGGUCAUUGCAAUGGAAUGAUUUGGGAGAGUUGCAGACUAUGGCUUGGACUUCAGGAGGUUCACUCUUUAUUUCUCAAGGGAGUAAUUGAAUUUAUGUUUGAGUAAAGCAAAUGACACAGAAAUUUUUACUGCAAUGCGUGGAGAAUUUGGCAACCAAAAAUCAACAAUGGACUGAAAUUACAGAGCAUCCACUAUGGUCCAUGGAGCAUCUCACUGUGGGCACAAGAAUACUUGAUUGAGUACACUAGAUUAAGAAACAUUGCAAAUUAAUUUAUGCUUUUUUUUUUUUUUUUUUUGGUUUAGUUUCAGUGAAAGCCAAUAAAAUACAGGGUAAUUGGGUGUGAUGUAGAUGUAGGGAAAUCAUAUUGACGGUAAAGUUGUGUUAUUUUAUAUUUAUUUUGUUACAAUUUUAAUUAUUCCACACUACUAGAAUUUUGUCUGUUUGAUUUCUUCACUAAUUAGAUAUGCUCUCUAUUUGUUCUUUAUUCUAGAUUUGUUCUUUUUUUUUUUCCUUGCAAUAAUGUAGAGUACAACUCCUAGCCUCAUACUCAUAUUGGAUUAUGCAUUAUAAUAAUUCUCUUGGUUCUA